GACGAACGCUGGCGGUGUGCCUCACACAUGCAAGUCGAGCGGAUUUACUUAGUAGCUUGCUAUUAAGUAAGUUAGCGGCGGACGGGUGAGUAAUGCGUAGGAAUCUACCCUAAGGUAGGGGAUAACGGGCUGAAAGGUCCGCUAAUACCCCAUAUGCGGGUUCUCUUCGGAGGAUUCGUGAAAGGAGCAAUUCGCCUUUGGAUGAGCCUGCGUCUGAUUAGCUAGUUGGUAGGGUAAAAGCCUACCAAGGCUACGAUCGGUAGUUGGUCUGAGAGGACGACCAGCCACACUGGGACUGAGACACGGCCCAGACUCCUACGGGAGGCAGCAGUGGGGAAUAUUGGACAAUGGGGGAAACCCUGAUCCAGCGACGCCGCGUGUGUGAAGAAGGCCUGCGGGUUGUAAAGCACUUUUAGUGGGGAUGAAAAGCACCAGGCUAAUACCCGGGUGUCUUGACCUAACCCAAAGAAAAGCACCGGCUAACUCUGUGCCAG
rnacentral:rRNA from 1 species